CUACAGACCGUCACUCUAUCCCAGGAGCCCGACACCAUUCUCUGGAAGUGGAUGGAGAACGGGGCUAACUCUGCGUCUUCAUGCUACAACACCUUAUUCACCGGUUCUACACUAUCUGAGCACUAGCGCCUUGUGUGGAAAUCGGGUGCCCCUCUCUAAGUCAAAUUCUUCCUCUACCUCGCCUCCGUCAACCGCUGUUGGACGGCUGACCGGUUGGAACGGCGUGGCCUACCGCAUGAGCCAGAAUGUGUGAUGUUCUCCCAACAAGCUGAGACCAUACACCACCUUCUGGUGGAGUGCAUUUUCUCUCGCACUAUCUGGCAUGGCAUCUUCUCCUGGUGUUGCCCCGAGAUCACCGCACCAGAUGGCUCUCUUGCCUUCCUCGACUGGCUCAGCUCGAUUCUUCCUACGACGACCCUGGACAAGUGA
rnacentral:rRNA from 1 species